GAUGAACGCUGGCGGCGUGCCUAAUACAUGCAAGUCGAGCGAACGGACGAGAAGCUUGCUUCUCUGAUGUUAGCGGCGGACGGGUGAGUAACACGUGGAUAACCUACCUAUAAGACUGGGAUAACUUCGGGAAACCGGAGCUAAUACCGGAUAAUAUUUUGAACCGCAUGGUUCAACAGUGAAAGACGGUCUUGCUGUCACUUAUAGAUGUAUCCGCGCUGGAUUAGCUAGUUGGUAAGGUAACGGCUUACCAAGGCAACGCUGCAUAGCCGACCUGAGAGGGAGAAUGGCUAGACGGGAAGAGAGAAACGGCCCAGAGACCGGCAGGGGGCAGCGGUAGAGAAUCUUACGCGAUGCAGCAGACGGUGACGGAGCAAAGCCGCGGGAGUGAUGAAGCUGCACCGAUCGGAAAGCGCUGAUAGUAGGCGGGAUGAAAUCUGCAUGUGACAGUGCAGAUCUUGACGGUACCUGACCAGAAAGCCACGGCUAACUACGUG
rnacentral:rRNA from 1 species